AUUGAACGCUGGCGGCAGGCAUAACACAUGCAAGUCGAACGAGUGGCGGAGGGGUGAGUAACGCAUGGGAAUCUCGCUUAUGGAGGGGGAUAACAACGGGAAACAGUGGCUAAAACCCCGUACCAUAAGAUGGAGCUAAGUGGGCUUAGGUAGAUGGUGAGGUAAAGGCUCACCAAGACGACGAUCUCUAGCUGAUCUGAGAGGAUGACCAGCCACACUGGGACUGAGACACGGCCCAGACUCCUACGGGAGGCAGCAGUGGGGAAUCUUGCGCAAUGGGCGCAAGUCUGACGCAGCAAUGCCGCGUGUGUGAAGAAGGCCUUAGGGUUGUAAAGUACUGUCGGCGGAGAGGCGGUACCUAAAGAGAAAGCCCCGGCUAACUCCGUGCCAGCAGCCGCGGUAAUUC
rnacentral:rRNA from 1 species